UACGUAGGGCGCAAGCGUUGUCCGGAAUUAUUGGGCGUAAAGAGCUCGUAGGCGGCUUGUCACGUCGGAUGUGAAAGCCCGGGGCUUAACUCCGGGUCUGCAUUCGAUACGGGCUAGCUAGAGUGUGGUAGGGGAGAUCGGAAUUCCUGGUGUAGCGGUGAAAUGCGCAGAUAUCAGGAGGAACACCGGUGGCGAAGGCGGAUCUCUGGGCCAUUACUGACGCUGAGGAGCGAAAGCGUGGGGAGCGAACAGG
rnacentral:rRNA from 1 species